rnacentral:rRNA from 1 species
GAGGAGGUGGGGUAAGUGCCCACAGUGCCGAUAAUCGGUACGGGUUGUGAGAGCAAGAGCCGGGAGACGGUAUCUGAGACAAGAUACCGGGCCGUACGGGGCGCAGCAGGCGCGAAACCUUUACACUGCACGAAAGUGCGAUAAGGGGACUCCAAGUGCGAGGGCAUAUAGUCCUCGCUUUUCACCACCGUAAGGUGGUAGUAGAAUAAGUGCUGGGCAAGACCGGUGCCAGCCGCCGCGGUAAUACCGGCAGCACGAGUGAUGACCGCUCUUAUUGGCCUAAAGCGUCCGUAGCUACUUUCCC